rnacentral:ncRNA from 2 species
AUGAAGGCAAGGGGAGAGACUGUUUAACGGCGCCGAAGGAGCAAGCAACCUUUUUUGUGAAUCUCUCAGGCAAAAGAACUCUUGCUGGACG